UUCCGUUGGUGGCGCAUGACUCUCCCUUGAAGGGCGAUGUUGUCGUGCACCGUAAGUAUAACCACAGUGCAGAUUUCAGGGCCCGCGAAUCGCGGGCUUUUUUUU
rfam:Tatumella morbirosei strain LMG 23360 Contig3, whole genome shotgun sequence.